rnacentral:rRNA from 1 species
CCUACGGGAGGCAGCAGUGGGGAAUAUUGCACAAUGGGGGAAACCCUGAUGCAGCGACGCCGCGUGAGUGAAGAAGUAUUUCGGUAUGUAAAGCUCUAUCAGCAGGGAAGAAAAUGACGGUACCUGAUUAAGAAGCCACGGCUAACUACGUGCCAGCAGCCGCGGUAAUACGUAGGGGGCAAGCGUUAUCCGGAUUUACUGGGUGUAACGGGAGCUUAGACGGCAGCACAAGUCUGGCGUGAAAUGCCGGGGCUUAACCCCGGAACUGCUUUGGAAACUGUGCAGCGAGAGUGCGGGAGAGGUAAGUGGAAUUCCUAGUGUAGGGGUGAAAUGCGUAGAUAUUAGGAGGAACACCAGUGGCGAAGGCGGCUUACUGGACUGUAACUGACGUUGAGGCUCGAAAGCGUGGGGAGCAAACAGGAUUAGAUACCCCAGUAGUC